rnacentral:ribozyme from 1 species
GUAGUCCAGAUUGAUGACUUGCGAGACGAUUUGAGCCAAUGGAAAUAUCUCUAUUUGGCUGGCCGGAUGCAAAAACCAGUCCUCACUUUGAUUGACGAUCGACGAGACGAG